CCAACUGCGGACUGGCGCAAGACAGGCACUUGUGGAGCCCAUUCCACAACUAAACUGUGCUCUCCAACUUUUUCUUGCAGGCUUUCGAAGAAGUUUUCAGCUUUAGCGAUCUUCUCCACUUGAUCAGCCGGGAGGGAGAUGACGCUUCCGAAGGCGAUGUAGAGAACCGAGCGGUGAGAAGCGCCGGAGGUACGAGUGGUCCGACUGGCAGAUAGUUGGGAAACUCUUUCCUGCGCGAAGUCACAAGUUCGUGAUCCAGCUCCUCGAUGGAGUUGACGAGAACACACGCAGCUUCCUUUGUUCGCUUUGCAGCAGCUCCCAGAAGAAGCACAACAGGACCGCCGCGCUGGAAGCCAAGAGGAAGCAGUCUCCUCGGGAAAGGCUCGAGGCCGGGAAUGAAGUCGAUCAGAGUUUGGUGGUCGGGGUUGCCUGAAAGAGAGGAAAGGACGCGCAGAGGAAUAUAACCCCGGGACUCGAGCUCUGGGAUAUGGUAGAAGAGCACCUCAUUGAUCGCGUGACUGGUGUUUAAGGCGAUCUGUGGGAUUCCCAGGCUCGCGGCGACGUCCUGUGACCAGCCCAAGAAGAAAUCAGAGAUUAGGCACUUCACCGGUGGUCGGAGGGCCUCUAGAACCGCUUUCACUUCCUCUUGGAGCUCUGCAGCUCUGAUAAGUGACACGUCCGUGGGUGGGCUCGGCACCAGAUCGAUGUGGAGGUCAUCUUCCCGCAGGCUCGACUCCACCUUGGAGCACAGAUUCCUGGGAAGAACAAAGCUUACGUGAAAUCCCAGCGGGACGAGGCGGCGGCAAAGCUCGAGCAUGGGAUUGAUGUGGCCGGAUCCAUCGCAGGGAAGCGCUGCUAUGUGAAGACGCUGCUCGUCUGCCAUCGCCAAAGCAAAGACUAAAGAUCCAGAGAGGGUUGUUGACUAUUGACUAUUUGACUGGUGUUUUCUUUUUUGGGUGAAUUUAGGGCUCUUGCGAAUGGCGAUCCCGGCGUGGCGGAUUUGCCUAGCGUCGGCGUCCCCGGAGGAGCAGCAGCACCAGCGGCGCCUCACCUCGCUGCUGCGCAACAAGCAGCGGGCCCUGGAGGCGCGCCUGGCCGCUAUGGAUGAGCAGGAGCGGCAGCUCCAGUCGCGGCUGCAGGGACUCCAGAGAUUGCCGCCGCCCCAGCACCGGUUGCUGCAGAAGAUCGUCGCCAGCACAAUGCAGGGCCGCACGGCGAUCGUGGCCGAGGUCGCGCGGGCCUCUCCGGCGGAGAAGCCAGAGGGCGUUGCGCAAAGGAGCCAGGACUAUGUUACAUGGGGAGCUGACGCCAUCUCGGUUUGCACUGACGAAGAAGUAUCGCCAGAUGGAGUUUUGGAUCUGGAAGCUGUUUCUAAAGUUUGUGCGAAGUAAUUCCUCGGAUGUGCAGCGGUGGAGGUCCCAGUUCUUCGCAAAGAUUGGAUCAUUCAUCCGAUACAGAUAAUCGAUACUCGGGAAUCCGGUGCUGCUGCUCUCACGGCCGUCUACUCAGUUCUUUCCAAAGGAACGCCAUCCAUUCUACGCUACAUAGCUACAGUUGGACUUGAUGCAGUUGUGGAGGUCGUCAAUCUCAAAGAACUCGAGGAACUCUCCACACUCGGCAUCCCGCUCUUUGGUUUCAACAUCUCAGUUGGAGUUGCAGUUCCAAUACCAGGCUUUCGGCAGGACAUCGCCAAGUCUCUGGUUCAAAAGCUCCCCUUUGGAGCCGCGUCCAUUGUGGGCGUUGCUUCGAUGGAGGAGGCACGGCAGAUGAAGGUGGCGGGGGCGGACGCCGUCUACCUGAAAAGAGAGGCUCUAAGUUCGCCGCAAGAGCUACUCGAAAGCUUGCGAGAAGGAUUGAGUGGAGACGACUAGAAAAACAAAUAAACAGCAGUCAUUUACAAUCACGGUU